UUAAGUCCGUAACGAGCGCAACCCUUGCCUUAGUUACCAGCACGUUAUGGUGGGCACUCUAAGGAGACUGCCGGUGACAAACCGGAGGAAGUGGGGAUGACGUCAAGUCAUCAUGGCCCUUACGGCCUGGGCUACACACGUGCUACAAUGGUCGGUACAAAGGGUUGCCAAGCCGCGAGGUGGAGCUAAUCCCAUAAAACCGAUCGUAGUCCGGAUCGCAGUCUGCAACUCGACUGCGUGAAGUCGGAAUCGCUAGUAAUCGUGAAUCAGAAUGUCACGGUGAAUACGUUCCCGGGCCUU
rnacentral:rRNA from 1 species